ensembl:snRNA U6 U6 spliceosomal RNA
UUAUUCUUCGGCAGCACAUAUACUAAAAUUGGAACGAUACAGAGAAGAUUAGCAUGGCCCCUGCACAAGGAUGACAUGCAAAUUCAUGAAGCGUUCCAUAUUUAA